rnacentral:rRNA from 1 species
GACGAAGGGGGCUAGCGUUGUUCGGAAUUACUGGGCGUAAAGCGCGUGUAGGCGGUUGUUUAAGUCAGGUGUGAAAGCCUUGAGCUCAACUCAAGAAAUGCACUUGAUACUGGAUGACUAGAGGACCGGAGAGGAUAGUGGAAUUCCCAGUGUAGUGGUGAAAUUCGUAGAGAUUGGGAAGAACACCAGUGGCGAAGGCGGCUAUCUGGACGGUUUCUGACGCUAAGACGCGAAAGCGUGGGGAGCAAACAGG